ACUAAGCGUACACGGUGGAUGCCCUGGCAGUCAGAGGCGAUGAAGGACGUGCUAAUCUGCGAUAAGCGUCGGUAAGGUGAUAUGAACCGUUAUAACCGGCGAUUUCCGAAUGGGGAAACCCAGUGUGAUUCGUCACACUAUCAUUAACUGAAUCCAUAGGUUAAUGAGGCGAACCGGGGGAACUGAAACAUCUAAGUACCCCGAGGAAAAGAAAUCAACCGAGAUUCCCCCAGUAGCGGCGAGCGAACGGGGAGCAGCCCAGAGCCUGAAUCAGUGUGUGUGUUAGUGGAAGCGUCUGGAAAGGCGUGCGAUACAGGGUGACAGCCCCGUACACAAAAAUGCACAUAUUGUGAGCUCGAUGAGUAGGGCGGGACACGUGGUAUCCUGUCUGAAUAUGGGGGGACCAUCCUCCAAGGCUAAAUACUCCUGACUGACCGAUAGUGAACCAGUACCGUGAGGGAAAGGCGAAAAGAACCCCGGCGAGGGGAGUGAAAAAGAACCUGAAACCGUGUACGUACAAGCAGUGGGAGCACGCUUAGGCGUGUGACUGCGUACCUUUUGUAUAAUGGGUCAGCGACUUAUAUUCUGUAGCAAGGUUAACCGAAUAGGGGAGCCGAAGGGAAACCGAGUCUUAACUGGGCGUUAAGUUGCAGGGUAUAGACCCGAAACCCGGUGAUCUAGCCAUGGGCAGGUUGAAGGUUGGGUAACACUAACUGGAGGACCGAACCGACUAAUGUUGAAAAAUUAGCGGAUGACUUGUGGCUGGGGGUGAAAGGCCAAUCAAACCGGGAGAUAGCUGGUUCUCCCCGAAAGCUAUUUAGGUAGCGCCUCGUGAAUUCAUCUCCGGGGGUAGAGCACUGUUUCGGCAAGGGGGUCAUCCCGACUUACCAACCCGAUGCAAACUGCGAAUACCGGAGAAUGUUAUCACGGGAGACACACGGCGGGUGCUAACGUCCGUCGUGAAGAGGGAAACAACCCAGACCGCCAGCUAAGGUCCCAAAGUCAUGGUUAAGUGGGAAACGAUGUGGGAAGGCCCAGACAGCCAGGAUGUUGGCUUAGAAGCAGCCAUCAUUUAAAGAAAGCGUAAUAGCUCACUGGUCGAGUCGGCCUGCGCGGAAGAUGUAACGGGGCUAAACCAUGCACCGAAGCUGCGGCAGCGACGCUUAUGCGUUGUUGGGUAGGGGAGCGUUCUGUAAGCCUGCGAAGGUGUGCUGUGAGGCAUGCUGGAGGUAUCAGAAGUGCGAAUGCUGACAUAAGUAACGAUAAAGCGGGUGAAAAGCCCGCUCGCCGGAAGACCAAGGGUUCCUGUCCAACGUUAAUCGGGGCAGGGUGAGUCGACCCCUAAGGCGAGGCCGAAAGGCGUAGUCGAUGGGAAACAGGUUAAUAUUCCUGUACUUGGUGUUACUGCGAAGGGGGGACGGAGAAGGCUAUGUUGGCCGGGCGACGGUUGUCCCGGUUUAAGCGUGUAGGCUGGUUUUCCAGGCAAAUCCGGAAAAUCAAGGCUGAGGCGUGAUGACGAGGCACUACGGUGCUGAAGCAACAAAUGCCCUGCUUCCAGGAAAAGCCUCUAAGCAUCAGGUAACAUCAAAUCGUACCCCAAACCGACACAGGUGGUCAGGUAGAGAAUACCAAGGCGCUUGAGAGAACUCGGGUGAAGGAACUAGGCAAAAUGGUGCCGUAACUUCGGGAGAAGGCACGCUGAUAUGUAGGUGAAGUCCCUCGCGGAUGGAGCUGAAAUCAGUCGAAGAUACCAGCUGGCUGCAACUGUUUAUUAAAAACACAGCACUGUGCAAACACGAAAGUGGACGUAUACGGUGUGACGCCUGCCCGGUGCCGGAAGGUUAAUUGAUGGGGUUAGCGCAAGCGAAGCUCUUGAUCGAAGCCCCGGUAAACGGCGGCCGUAACUAUAACGGUCCUAAGGUAGCGAAAUUCCUUGUCGGGUAAGUUCCGACCUGCACGAAUGGCGUAAUGAUGGCCAGGCUGUCUCCACCCGAGACUCAGUGAAAUUGAACUCGCUGUGAAGAUGCAGUGUACCCGCGGCAAGACGGAAAGACCCCGUGAACCUUUACUAUAGCUUGACACUGAACAUUGAGCCUUGAUGUGUAGGAUAGGUGGGAGGCUUUGAAGUGUGGACGCCAGUCUGCAUGGAGCCGACCUUGAAAUACCACCCUUUAAUGUUUGAUGUUCUAACGUGGACCCGUAAUCCGGGUUGCGGACAGUGUCUGGUGGGUAGUUUGACUGGGGCGGUCUCCUCCUAAAGAGUAACGGAGGAGCACGAAGGUUGGCUAAUCCUGGUCGGACAUCAGGAGGUUAGUGCAAUGGCAUAAGCCAGCUUGACUGCGAGCGUGACGGCGCGAGCAGGUGCGAAAGCAGGUCAUAGUGAUCCGGUGGUUCUGAAUGGAAGGGCCAUCGCUCAACGGAUAAAAGGUACUCCGGGGAUAACAGGCUGAUACCGCCCAAGAGUUCAUAUCGACGGCGGUGUUUGGCACCUCGAUGUCGGCUCAUCACAUCCUGGGGCUGAAGUAGGUCCCAAGGGUAUGGCUGUUCGCCAUUUAAAGUGGUACGCGAGCUGGGUUUAGAACGUCGUGAGACAGUUCGGUCCCUAUCUGCCGUGGGCGCUGGAGAACUGAGGGGGGCUGCUCCUAGUACGAGAGGACCGGAGUGGACGCAUCACUGGUGUUCGGGUUGUCAUGCCAAUGGCACUGCCCGGUAGCUAAAUGCGGAAGAGAUAAGUGCUGAAAGCAUCUAAGCACGAAACUUGCCCCGAGAUGAGUUCUCCCUGACUCCUUGAGAGUCCUGAAGGAACGUUGAAGACGACGACGUUGAUAGGCCGGGUGUGUAAGCGCAGCGAUGCGUUGAGCUAACCGGUACUAAUGAACCGUGAGGCUUAACC
rnacentral:rRNA from 1 species